AUGCACACGAGUAUGUAAUAUUGUACUUGUACAGUUCUAUAAUACAGCGAAACCAGGGAUUCGUUUUGGAAAACAAUAGUUUAUCAAGAACUAGAUGAUGACUUGAUCUGGAUUCAGGAGAUGUACCAUGACAAAUAAGAAACAGUUAUUGGAAAUUCGCUCGCUCGUUGCAUAUUUAGAUGAAUUGUCGAUUCACCGAAAUCUCAUUCAUAAUCAGUCAUCAUUAAUCAUUCAUUGCAAAAGAUCUAUACUUAUCACAAAAAGAAUUCGAGAACACGAACAAAAUGGUUUAUCAGCUCAUCGGUCUGAGAUUCUCACCGAUAAAUGGAAAUUAUUCAAAUUACUCAUUUUCGGCCAGGAAAAAAUUCAACCAUUUCUUUCAUGUAGCAAUUAGACGCAAAAUAGUUGGAGAAGGGAAGAGAUGGGUCAAAUUCUUGAAAACGACAUUCAUCAGCGUGGAAUUAUACGUAUCAAUAAUCCGCAGACUUAUUCUGGAUAUUUAUCAAGCUAUCAUGAGCAGAGAGGAGGACAAUUGGAAACAUAUGGAAAAGAGACGACGAAAAACUUACCAGAUGCCAAAUCAAUCGACAAAAUCAUUCAGCAAGUAAACCAGUUGCAUGCUGGCGUUUAAUAUUAGUACCUACAUAUAGAAUUUUAUUAUCUCAAUCACAGGGAUUGUAAACAACACAAUGGAUAAAACAUAAAAUAAUAAUAAUAAAAAAAAACUUGCAUCAAGGUAUAGAAUCCGCAUUGCAUAUCCCAGUACGAAUCGUAGGAUUCCCAAUAAUCUAAACACGACGAACUAGAAAACUGAUUAGUACUUCUAUUCAAGUCAAAAUAGGCAUGAAUAGUAACAAUCAACAAUACCUAGUCAAAAAUCGCUUUAAUAAAACCUAAACUUGACAGAUACAUUGAGGAGCGAUAAUAUUCCAAAACGCCCUUAGUCCAUUUUUUCGAAUUGCGUUUUUAAAAAAUAAAAAGUAUUCCAAAACGCAUUUUGUCCAUUUUUAUUGAUUUUUUUUAGCGGGAGGUAUCUGGUGGAUGAAAUGUAUAGCUACACUCCUACAUCAUAAAUCCACCCAAAUAAAGUUUUAAACUUGCCUAAAUAGCCAAUGUACCAGAUUAAAAAUGAAAUUUUUAAAAAUGGACCUAGGGCGUUUUAGAAUAUCGCUCCUCUAUGAAACAUUUUUAAUUAAUCGAAACAAAAGAAUAAAAUUAUUUAUGUAAGUAUUAAAAUACAAAUAAUUAUCGAUCACACAUUACAUAGGUAUCAAUAAUAAUGUUCUUCGGUAUGACUCGCGUACCUAGAUCUUGUUGAGGAUACAUACUCGUAUUUGGUGACAGCUUGAAUUAUUACUUUCCAUUUACCUUAAAUUUUAUUUAAUAAUUUAAUUGAAAUUUAAUUUAAUAGAAUAGAGUACCUAUCUAAAUCUAGUUCAAUAAUAAAUUUAUUUAUUUAAAUAUAAAAUUUUUAUUAAUUUAAAUUAUUUCACUAGGGAAUUAUUUACCUAUUCAUUCGACAUUGAAAAAUGUUAUUUUAAAUAUACCUACUUAACUAAAUGUUUACAUAUUAAUGAUUCAAAAAUAAUACUUAUAGGUAAGUAAAAAUUAAUGUAAACAUGAUUGUUUCAAAAUGGAGCGCAAAGAAAAAUCACGGCCCUGAGUAGAGGAAGUUUGCGUCUUCCAUUUUUGUUAAUGGUAUGUAUCGCCAAUUUCGACAAAAAAAACAAUAUUAACCACUUAAAUUGUGGUGUUUCAAUUUCGCGAAUCACACACUUGAACUAAUUUGAUCAAAUUUCUGUAUGUACUUGCCAAGUAUCUGUAUGAAUAAUUGAAUGUAUCUACGUUUAUUGUAAACGAGCCAUUUUGAAAAUUAAAUAUUUUAUUCUGUA